GACGAACGCUGGCGGCGUGCUUAACACAUGCAAGUCGAACGGUCCUGUUUUUGAAGCGUUUCGGCGUGGAGGGGACGGGGCAGUGGCGCACGGGUGAGUAAUGCGCGAGGACCUGCCCGCGGGAGGGGGACAGCAGUUGGAAACGGCUGGUGAUACCCCGUAGGCCGGGAGGUAAAAGGGCGGAGACGCCCGCCUGCGGAUGGACUCGCGUCCUAAUCAGCUAGUUGGUGAGGCAACGGCUCACCAAGGCGACGACGGGUAGCCGGCCUGAGAGGGUGUCCGGCCACACUGGAACUGAGACACGGUCCAGACUCCUACGGGAGGCAGCAGUGGGGAAUUUUGGGCAAUGGGGGAGACCCUGACCCAGCGACGCCGCGUGAGGGACGAAGGCCCUUGGGUCGUAAACCUCUUUUGCAGGGGAAGAAGAAGAUGACGGUACCUUGCGAACAAGUCCCGGCUAACUACGUG
rnacentral:rRNA from 1 species